AACUCCAGAUUUUCUUCACUAAAUUCUCUAUAGCCUCAUCGCAAAUUCCAUAAUCCCAGCUCCUUACCGAGAGCACCAACCACUCUUCUCUUCCUCAAUCAUUCUACAGAAGAAACUCCAUCAUAUUAUCUUCUAAUUCCCAGCAAACACACAACAAGCUGCACUCACAUGAAUAACAUUCUUUCUGCUAACUCAAACACAGCAGCAUCCCUUACUCGAUACCAUCAUCGCUACAGCAAAAACACUGCUUUAUAGCAAAAUCUUUGAAGAAGGUUUGCUCUUACACCAUUCUAUUCAUGACACAUAUAUAUGUGCGCAUAAUUACCCAACAAUCUACCUACCAUGUUUUGUUAAAAAGAGCUAUCUUUCAUGUGGGAGUCGAGUCGAGGCGAGUCAGGGCAGGGGGGAGCGAAGGCAGCGGUGCUGCUGUGGUCACCGCGGUGGCGCGGUUACUGCUGUUGUCGCCGGCGUGGCUG
rnacentral:lncRNA from 1 species